rnacentral:rRNA from 1 species
GCCUGGCUGUAAACUACUAGCCAAAAAAGUACAAGCAACCGCUUCAAACUUUAAGGACCUGGCGGUACUCUACAUCAACCUAGAGGGGCCUGCUCAGUAACCGAUAAUCCACGAAAAACCUCACCCCCUCUCGCCACCAGCCUAUAUACCGCCGUCUCCAGCGCAUUUUACAAAAAAUGAAGCUAAACAGUCUAGCACACUAGCACGUCAGGUCAAGGUGUAGCUCAUGAGGGGGAAUAGCGCGGACCACAAUGCCACAACACACAGAAACCUUACUGAAAUGUAAGAUAGAAGACGAAUUUAGCAGUAAGCAGGAACGAAUGCCCAGCUGAACCAAGCUUGCCCUAGAGUACGC